rnacentral:pre_miRNA from 1 species
UAAAUACUACUUCCAUCCAACAAAAGAUAAGAUGUCUCAAGUUUGUUAAAUUUUGGAUGUAUCUAGCCAUGACUUAGUGUAUAGAUGCAUUCAAAUUUAGUGAAAGUCGAGACAUUCUUUGUUGGACGGAGAGAGUACUUG